GGAUAGAGACCACGCAGGGAGCUGGACGCAGGAGGUUGGGAGCUGGACUCAGCGGGCUGCAGCAGCACCGGGGCGCUGCCCAGAUGGUGCCCCUUGAAAGGAGGCUUAGCCUAGCAAUUGCAAACUGGCACCACUCUUCUAAACAUGUAACCCACAGAAGUUGAUUGACAGGCAUAAUCAAAUAGCAAGUUAAUAAUGAGUUGAAAAGAAGUGCAUUUGAAGAAAGAAUGGCUGAAGAAAUUAUUAUUUAAGGAUUAGAAGGCUUCUUAAGGGAUAUAUGGCAAUGUAUUGGAAAGAGCGCUGGAGAGAAUGUCCCUAAAGAUGGCUGAUUAAGAAUGUUGUGUAAGCCCAGGUCCUUCUCAUCACCUGGA